UUGAACGCUGGCGGCAGGCCUAACACAUGCAAGUCGAGCGGCAGCGCGGGGCAACCUGGCGACGAGCGGCGGACGGGUGAGUAACGCGUAGGAAUCUACCCAGUAGCGGGGGAUAGCCCGGGGAAACUCGGAUUAAUACCGCAUACGCCCUAAGGGGGAAAGCGGGGUCGCAAGACCUCGCACUAUUGGAAGAGCCUGCAUUGGAUUAGCUAGUUGGUAGGGUAAAGGCCUACCAAGGCAACGAUCCACAACUGGUCUGAGAGGAUGAUCAGUCACACCGGAACUGAGACACGGUCCGGACUCCUACGGGAGGCAGCAGUGGGGAAUAUUGGACAAUGGGGGCAACCCUGAUCCAGCCAUGCCGCGUGUGUGAAGAAGGCCUUCGGGUUGUAAAGCACUUUAAGUGGGGAGAAACGUUCGUCGGUUAAUACCCGGCGGAAUUGAUGUUACCCACAGAAUAAGCACCGGCUAACUCUGUGCCAGCCGCCGCAGUAA
rnacentral:rRNA from 1 species